GCUUUUGUAGCUUAAAGGUUGAAGCGAUUCUUUGAAACAGAAUAGAUGUAAGUUCAAAUCUUUCCAAAGGCA
rnacentral:tRNA from 2 species